rnacentral:lncRNA from 1 species
UACGUGUUAUGUGUGCAUAUUAUCUGUAUAAUUGCUAUCUAUGGUGGACGAACGAUUUUAUACAAGUUUUAUAUGAUUUAAACUGUAUAUGUAUUUAUAUCUACGUAAAAUGUUGGGUAAAACAUGGGUAGAUGAAAUAUGAGUUGGAUGAUGAGUUUAGAGGUGAUAUAGACCAUGAGGUAAGGGUGAGAGGUUGACGAUGUGAAAAGCCUUGUUCCCAAAUGCUGGCCCCAUCAUUUAGCAGAGUAUGUAUGACAACCACAGACUAAUCUAGACAGUUCGGUGGAACACUAGCAGGCUUGCAACCUGUUGGUGUUGUGAGCGGUGUGUUCACCCGGUGUACUCUAAACCUUGGCGAUCAUGCAGACUUGAUGCCUAAACCCUGGUGACCAUGCAGACUUGGUGCCUAAUCCCGGGCGACUAUGCAGACUUAGUGCCUAUUGUAUAAACCUUGACAACGAUAGAUUUCAUACCGAUUCCUUAGGAUGAUCCUUAGGAAUAAAUGAACGAGGAAUAGUUGAUUCUUAAGGUAGAUCCUUAAGAGUAAAUAAGAUAAUGGGGCUGGGUAAUUGGGUUGAUUGUUUGAUGUUUAAACAUAAUAGUUAUAUUACUGUGGGUUGAAAAUCCUAUGUACUCACCAGGUUUUCCAACCUGACCCACUCAGUUUAUUUAUAUCACAGGUGUUGAUAUGAAGUUACAUUACACUGAGAGAUUAAGGAGAUAUAAAUCACUAGUGAUAAUGAAUGUAAGUUCUGUUUAUGCUUAUGUUUCUGUAUUGACGAUGAUAUCCCAAAUGUUUUAAAUUGAAUAAAAAUACUUUUCUUCGGAAAUACUUUGAUAACGUAUUUAUCAUGUUUUACUGGGAACAAAUUUCACAAUAUUUUUAUUAAAAGAGGUACUCUAAUUUUUAUAAAUCAUAAACAAAAUCGGUUUUUUCUGUCCGUGAAAACGGGGUUGUAAAACUGUACAUCGUCUAAUUCGUUGUUCAUUGAUUUCUUACCCCUUAACCUCUAAUUCGUUGUCUUCUUCACUUCAUAAGAAGAAAGAGACACAUUUUGUGAUCGAUUAGAGGGAGAAGAAUAAGGUUGUAUCAGUGUUGAGACUUGUGGGUAUAAACACGUAAAAUCCGAACCAGAGGUUGUGGUGGUGGUUGCGAUUUGUAGAGAAAAACAGGUGCAUUAUUGUAACGUCGGUAGAUCUAAGCCAGUCAAUUUAAAGACAAUAAACAUCAAAAAUGAUUUCUUGAUGGAAGAUUAUUUAGAAGGAUUAGUCUUAACCAAGUUGUAGUAUAUGUUAAAAGGGUUCAGUACAUAUAAUGAACGCCGGAAUCUGAGUUAUAACAAAGAAGUUAUGACCCGUCGAAGUUUUUCGGCAAAACCGGCAUGACACCGGGAGACGUAAAUAGUGAAUUUACGAUAGAGGAGUUUUUACCCUUGGCAAUCUAAAAAAAAGUCGUAGAAUAUGUUAAACUGAGAGCGUCCAUAAAAAGAAUGCCCAAAUCUUACUUCGUAUGAGGAAGUUAUGAAUUUUCUAACAUUUGGCAUAGUAGUGCACGACUCGAAAUUUGAAUUUUAGUUCGAGCGGUUUUUGGCCUACGUGACCUAAAUGAGAGUUGAAUAUCUCAUUAGUAGGAACUCAACCAUAAAAAGACAGAUGAAAACGGAGUCCGUAUGUAGAAGUUGUGAAUUUUACGCGGACAUUUAACAGUAUAAUCUCCUCCUACUAAUAAAUUUAAGAUCGGUCGAGAAUUAGCCGACGGAGUCUAAAAGAAAGUUUUAGAUCUUGUUUUUACCUAUGCACAGAUAUAAAGAAUGUCGAGAGUAGAGAUCGUAUAUUAGAGAUAUGGACGAAACUUGGUCCCUACUGUUCGAGCACGAUAAAUUCGAUAUAAUUUUGUAAAUCUGAGAUAGAAUGAGAAUUAGCUGACAACAUCUAAAUGAAAGUUGUAGUAGUUGGAAAUACCAAUGCGUGGAUAUAAAGAACGUCAAAAAUGGAAUUCGUAUGAACGAGUUACAAAUUAUAAUAGCAUAUUUAUGUAUUAAAAUAAAGUAUAAAUCAUAUAUACAUACACAUAUAUAUACAAAUGUAUAUAUCAUUAGAAAGGUAUCGACGAUGCGGUUAUUAUAAGACUAGUGUUGAGUACUUUCGACAUUAGUUUAGUACAAAUAUCAUUAAAUCUAUUUAAAAUAGUAUUAUGAAGGGGUGUUUAGUCGUUUAUAUAACUAUAAGGUCAUUAAGUAAUUAUGGAGGGUAGUUUUUGUAAAUUCAAUUACUAUAAAUAAGAGGCUUGGGCUCUCAUAUUUCUUACACCAUUCUCUUGAUUCAAGAGUCUUUUUCUUCUUAUCCCCCGAGCAUUUCGGUCGCUCGUGAUUCGACUUCUCUUUCUGUAGUUUUAGUAUAGUAAGGUGAGCGCUGAAGCGUUGAACGAAUCUUUCUUAGAAAGAUUCAGCGACAAAGUUCUGCCCCUACAAAGCCCGACUCCUAGCUAAAACCCCCUUGUAAGUAAGUUGUGCUUACCCUAUUUUAAUAUAGCUUAUAUUUAAAAUUAGUAUUGUUAUUAUGAACUUAUAAUAAAUAUUUGAGAUAUUAUUAUAUAAGUGUCGUUAUAAUAUCUUUUUAACUACUCGCGGUACGGGGAAUCUGGUUUAAAAAGCCGCAUAAUGUUGUUGGAUUUCAGAAGUGCUAUAUGCCAAAAUGGUCCUGCCCUCCGAUGUUUUAUGUCUAGCCCAUGUCUGUACAUAGUGGUUGGGAAGUAUUGUUUAAACGCUUGUAUAAUAAUAAUAAGACUAAUAAUUAGUCACGGUAAAUAUUAGAUUAAAAUCUAGUGGUAAUAAUAGUAGGUUUCGUCGAAGGAAAUUAUUUUAAAGUAAACGAAGCGCUCUCCGAGUCACCACCUUAUCAAGUGAGUGCAUGGUCUCUUUCAUCUUACACAUAGAUAUGAAGUCUUUUAUAUAAACUACGUGCUAUGUGUGCAUAUUAUCUGUAUAAUUGCUAUCUAUGCUGGAUGAACGAUUUUAUACAAGUUUUAUAUGAUUUAAACUGUAUAUGUAUUUAUAUCUACAUAAUAUGUUGGGUAAAACAUGGGUAGAUGAAAUAUGAGUUGGAUGAUGAGUUGAGAGGUGAUAUAGACCAUGAGGCAAGGGUGAGAGGUGGACGAUGUGAGAAGCCUUGUUCCCUAAUCCUGGCCCCGUCAUCUAGUAGAGUAUGGAUGACAACCACGGACAAUUCUAGACAGUCCAGUGGAACACUAGCAGGCUUGCAACCUGUAGGUGUUGUGAACAAUGUGUUCACCCGGUGUACUCUAAACCUUGGCGAUCAUGCAGACUCGAUGCCUAAACCCUGGUGAUUAUUCAAACUUAGUGCCUAAACCUUGGCGAUCAUGCAGACUUGAUGCCUAAACCCUGGUGACCAUGCAGACUUGGUGCCUAAUCCCUGGCGACUAUGCAGACUUAGUGUCUAUUGUAUAAACCUUGACAACGAUGGACUUCGUGCCGAUUCCUUAACCUUAAGAAUAAAUGAACGAGGAAUAGUUGAUUCUUAGGGUAGAUCCUUAAGAGUAAAGAAGAUAAUGGGGAUGGGUAAUUGGGUUGAUUGUUUGAUGUUUAAACAUUAUAAUUAUAUUAUUGUGGGUUGAAAACCCUAUGUACUCUCCAGGUUUUCCAACCUGACCCACUCAGUUUAUUUAUAUCACAUGUGUUGAUAUGAAGUCACAUUACACUGAGAGAUUAAGGAGAUAUAAAUCACUAGUGAUAAUGAAUGUAAGUUCUGUUUAUGCUUAUGUUUCUGUAUUGACGAUGACAUCCCAAAUGUUUUAAAACGAAUACACAUACUUUUCUUCGGAAAUGCUUUGAUAACGUAUUUAUCAUGUUUUACUAGGAACAAAUUCCGCAACAUUUUUAUUAAAAGAGGUACUCUGAUUUUUAUAAAGCAUAAACAAAAUCGGUCUUUUCUGGUCGUGAAAAUGGGGAUGUCACAGUUGGUAUCAGAGCAUUAGUUUAAGCAAACUAGGAA